AAACCUGCUUAACAACCAUGCUUAUCUGUCUGGAAAAGAGAAACACUGUAUGAAAGCUUUGCAUUCACUGGUACAACCACAUGAGAUGUGUGCAUGCAAUGCUUAUGCUUAUCCAGGACAAAAAAGAUUUGGAGACUUUCCACUGAAAGUAAAUCAAAGCAAAUAGAUAGCCUAAAGGAUGUCUGGCAUGGUCCCCAUCAAGGACCUGUGAAUAUUCACGUGCAUCAGUCUGUACAUUACACAGCCUAUAUCUGCCUAUGUUCCUCAACUUCCUAUGGUCUUCUGAAUUUGAUUUCUCUCUUCUGUUUUCUGCAUUGUUCCCAUCAUUUACUAUAGCUCACAGUUGAGACAGUAUGUGCUAUGAUAACAUCUACAGCUUUUGUUACUUUCUCCCAUGUUUCUCCUUCUGGAAUGCUGAUUUUUGUUCUUGCUCUUCAAUAAAAGGUAUUUCUAGUCUUUUCCUCUAAUCUUCGCUUUAUUCCUAUGGUCCUAUUUGAUUGCUUUUAUGUAACACAACUCGGUGCAUUAUCCUAUGGAUCCUUAAUGGAGGUGGACUCUGGAGUAUGAGAAGCCACGCUGGACCCGGAGAGUUUACUGUGUAAGAAACAAAACAAAGGACAGAAAUUUGGUGUGUGUGUGAUCCCUCAAGGUCUCAGGCCAAGCUGUUUCCUGACUGCUAGCCCAGAAUACCAAGUCAACUGUUCUGGUGUCCUUCAUUAAUACUUUGUUUUCUUGCCUCUUAUGCAUUAUCACAUUUAGUUUUGGUGUUUCUUCUUUCAGAAGUCCAUGUAGAAGAUGAUUUUUUUUCAGACUAAGUAUUCAGGUAUUUGGGUCUGGCUGCUCUAACUGAUAUUAUCUCUGCAGCUAGUGAUCAGAUUUUACCCUUUUAGCAGUCUCUAAAUCUAUGGUGAAGCUUGAGGGGACCCAUUAUUUUUCCUAAUUUGUUGUUACCAGCUUAGUUUGUCCUAGUUUCUACCAUCUCCUCCUGAAAAAUAAAAUUCAGUUUCCUUGACACCAGUUUGCAUCUCUCCAUGUGAUCAGGAAGAUUACUUUUUGCACUUUGUUCCUCCAAGCUGGCUGUGGUCUACCUCCAUCCACAUUCAUCCAUUUAGCAGUGGAGAACUAAAUGGCAGACACAACACUGUGCUGUAUCUUUUUGAAUGCUUUUGUUUUUUAUCUUUUAUUGAGUGUUUUCUGUCACUUGCCUUAUUCUUCAAAAUGUGCCCUGAGCUUCAAUGUCCUUCCCAGAAAAAGACUCUCUGUGUUGAAGAGCUGCUUGUUGCAAAUCUCCUUAGAAAGGGCCUGCUUCUGCUUGGCCUGUCCUCAGGUUCAAACCUGUCAGUGCCAGCUGUGCUUCUGAAAAGAGCCACACUGGCCUUUUACAAUGAUUUGCACUGCUCCUUCUCAGGCAAUAUCUAGAAAAAGGUUAUCUCAGUGGAAAUCUAGCACUUUUAUUUUUCUUCUUUUUCUUAUUUGUAAUAAAACCCGUAACACUGGGAAGGAUUUUAAUGCCAUAGGCAGUGGAUUGUGUUUUGUUGUAGGUCAGAAAUUUUUAGAAAAGAAGAAAUUGUCUGUUUGUGAAGGCUGGGUGCUGUAUCUAUCAUCCCUAAAUAUCUGUCUGUUUUUGUAAUACAUCAUAAUAUCUUGUUGCCAGUGCAACCUUUGCCCUCUUUGUUGCCUGCCUCUCCAUAGUGAAGUGUUUCUGUCGUACUGUGGUUAAUUUGGAGCGCAGUAAGAGAAUUCAUCUCUUUUAGAUCUAAAGCUGCAGCUUACCAAUAGCCUGUAAAGUUCAUUAGAUUUCUGAAAAGGAGAUGCACGUCCAACAAAUAUCACAAAAGAUAGUGACAUGGGAAAGAAAAAACAUCUCCUAUCACAUUUGCAAAUGAUUCUAAAUACAUAACGGAAAAAAUCAAGUAAUCGAAAAACACAUAAUGUCUUGACAAUAUGUUCUGAUUGUAAGAUCCUUCUGAAAAAAAAAAAACAACAAAAAAACAGGCUCCUGUGGAAAGACCAGAAGCAUUUACAAACUAGUCUGGAUGCUGAAGCAAUGUGGCUGUACAUGCUGCUUGUUAGAGCUCUUAUAAGUAGCUGUGUAUGAGAGAGUCUCUGUGUUAUGAAAUGUUUUCAGUUUAAUUGUUCCAGAGUAUACCUCUAUUUAUUCCAUUCUUAAAUAGUUGUAUAAAAACUGGCAGAUGCAGUUUUGUUAGAAUAAGAGUGCAACAUUACUGAUUUUGCAAUUGUUCUGAAACAUAAAAGGAGUUAAGAACUUUGUUGUCAUGAGGCUAGCCUCUUUGCUCUUACAAACAAUAGGAUGACUCUUAUCUCAUAAAAAGUCAGAUUGUCUUAAACGGGUCGUGGACAUCCUCCACUUUUUUUCUUUAUGUUUUUUGUUUGUUUGUUUGUUUUUGUUUUGUUUUGUUUUCUAAAUUAGUUGCUUUUUCACCAAAGCUUUUUUUCAUCUGUUCUGUGAAGAUUAGCAUGGUUUUUGAAGCCCAGCUACAUCUAUCAUUACUGAAGCUAAAUUGUUGCCUAACACCCACACUCAAACAUACCUUCCCAGCUACCUUAUGAAUUUAUUUAAUCCAACUACUGGAACUAUAGGGUAAAGCUAGCCUUGAGACAGACUCAUGAACUGGGGAGCA